rnacentral:rRNA from 1 species
GACGAACGCUGGCGGCGUGCUUAACACAUGCAAGUCGAACGGUAAGGCCCUUCGGGGUACACGAGUGGCGAACGGGUGAGUAACACGUGGGUGAUCUGCCCUGCACUUCGGGAUAAGCCUGGGAAACUGGGUCUAAUACCGGAUAGGACCACUGCCUGCAUGGGUGGUGGUGGAAAGCUUCUGCGGUGUGGGAUGGGCCCGCGGCCUAUCAGCUUGUUGGUGGGGUGAUGGCCUACCCAGGCGACGACGGGUAGCCGGCCUGAGAGGGUGACCGGCCACACUGGGACUGGGGUACGGCCCAGACUCCUACGAGAGGCAGCAGUGGGGAAUAUUGCACAAUGGGCGCAGGCCUGAUGCAGCGACGCCGCGUGAGGGAUGACGGCCUUCGGGUUGUAAACCUCUUUCAGCACCGACGAAGCGCAAGUGACGGUAGGUGCAGAAGAAGGACCGGCCAACUACGUGCCAGCAGCCGCAGUAA